rnacentral:rRNA from 1 species
CCUACGGGAGGCAGCAGUGGGGAAUAUUGCACAAUGGGGGAAACCCUGAUGCAGCGACGCCGCGUGAGUGAAGAAGUAUUUCGGUAUGUAAAGCUCUAUCAGCAGGAACGAGACAAGACGGUACCUGACUAAGAAGCCCCGGAUAACUACGUGCCAGCAGCCGCGGUAAUACGUAGGGGGCAAGCGUUAACCGGAAACAAUGGGUGUAAAGGGAGCGUAGACGGCUGAGCAAGCAUGAAGUGAAGGGCGGGGGCCAAACCCCCGGACUGCUUGGGGAACUGUACGGCUGGAGUGCAGGAAAGGUGAGUAGAAUUCCUGGUGUAGCGGUGAAAUGCGUAGAUAUAAGGAGGAACACCAGUGGCGAAGGCGGCUUACUGGACUGUAACUGACGUUGAGGCUCGAAAGCGUGGGGAGCAAACAGGAUUAGAUACCCCGGUAGUC